rnacentral:rRNA from 1 species
UACGGAGGGGGCAAGCGUUAUUCGGAAUUAUUGGGCGUAAAGGGCGCGUAGGCGGCUAGAUGUGUCAAAGGUGAAAUCCCUCGGCUCAACUGAGGAACUGCCUUUGAAACUGUCUGGCUUGAGGCCGGGAGAGGGUAGCGGAAUUCCCAGUGUAGCGGUGAAAUGCGUAGAGAUCUGGAAGAACACCGGUGGCGAAGGCGGUGGUCUGGGCCGUUACUGACGCUGAGGAGCGAAAGCUAGGGGAGCGAACGGG